GCCUAACACAUGCAAGUCGAGCGAAUGAAGUUCCUUCGGGAACGGAUUUAGCGGCGGACGGGUGAGUAACACGUGGGCAACCUGCCUCAUAGAGGGAAUAGCCUUCGAAAGGGAGAUUAAUACCGCAUAAGAUUGUAGUACCGCAUGGUACAGCAAUUAAAGGAGCAAUCCGCUAUGAGAUGGGCCCGCGGCGCAUUAGCUAGUUGGUGAGGUAACGGCUCACCAAGGCGACGAUGCGUAGCCGACCUGAGAGGGUGAUCGGCCACAUUGGGACUGAGACACGGCCCAGACUCCUACGGGAGGCAGCAGUGGGGAAUAUUGCGCAAUGGGCGAAAGCCUGACGCAGCCACGCCGCGUGAGUGAUGAAGGCCUUCGGGUCGUAAAACUCUUUCAGCAGGGACGAAGCGAAAGUGACGGUACCUGCAGAAGAAGCACCGGCUAACUACGUG
rnacentral:rRNA from 1 species